rnacentral:rRNA from 1 species
AUGCUUGACCACUUCUUGCAUGAGAUUGUUGACUUGUUGUCUUCUAUCUCAAAAAUGUCGCUCAGGUUCUUUCUCCGUGUGAUAAUCCAGCUCGGCUUGACUGGUAUGAAAGUCGCAUGUUAUUCAUGUCGCAUGUUAUUCAGGUUGCACAUCUCACAAUUGUUUAGAAGAAAUGCAUAUCUUUAUCCAUAUCUACAUUUGCUUUUAGUCAUAGCAAAAAGGGACAAGGACGGCGACUUCAACAGCGAUAGGACGGAAGCCAGUAUGCCUGGACCAACAAGCCGGUGUUCUUUAUUCCCUUCUUUCAUUAUGUCGGGAGUGGAUAAUCAACUUUCGUUUUUCUUUUCUGUACCUUCUUAUUUAUGCAUCUUAGUUAGGAAGCUAACUUCGUUUCUUUGCAUCAUCAUGGAAUAUUUUUUGUAG